ensembl:lncRNA
AAAAUAUAAUAUAAUGAUUUAAAAUAUAUUAAUAGGAUAAUAUAAUAAUGGGAUAUAAUAAUAGUAACAGAAUAUGAUGAUAAUAAUAUGGCAAUAGAAUAAUAGUAUAAAAUAAUCAGUUUCAUGGCAUAGGAUAGGAAUAAGGAUGAGAGGAGAAUCCCAAUGCGUCCUGUACCUUUAAGAAGCUGAAGCCUUGGGGACGAGUGCAAAGCCCUCUUCCUUCCCUCCCACCCUCCCUUGCCCUGGCUCCAGGAGCCAAUCAGAAGCCUCUGGGAAGAAGAGAGCAUGGCCAGGAAGGAGAGAAGGAAGAAACGGCAGCGCAGGCAGCAGCCACGGAAGGUUUUCAAGCCUCGGCUGGGGGACAGAGCACAGCUGGAUGUAGAUCGAUGUGGGAUGAGAGCUAGCAGACUCCAUGCUACAAGUGAAGUGUCAUACAACAGGCAGUUUUGCCCAUCUGAUGAGGCCCUGACACACAACUCCAAAAGCUGUUGAGAAGUCAGUGUCACUCUUAUUUGGCCUGGAAGUGAAGAAGGAAGGUGGGAUUUAUCUAUCUUAUUGAGAACCAACUUAUGGUCACUUAUGCAUUUAGAGACAGCCAGUCUUUUAUCACUAUUUGACAGAUAUUUCAAUAGCAUCCAGACAUGUGCUUCCUACAGAAAUGGGACUGCUAUUCAAAAAGAAAAAAAAGAUCAUCAUUCUACAUCUCCUUUUCUCAUUAUUUGUAUAUAACCGAACUUUUCUCAACUAAUAAAGAUAACAAGUCAUCUAAGCGUGUGUGUGUGGGGGGGGGAAUACUUGCCUAUAUUUCUAGACUCACAUGGAGGGAUGUAUGAGAUUUUGUUCCUUUAUUAGCAAUUCACCUUAAAGAGUGUUUUGAGCCUUCUAAAGGUUAGUUUUAUGAAUAUUCCAUUUCACCAUUAUCCUUGAGAGCUGAGCCCGUUAGAAGGUAAUGAAGAUAAUACAUAGUUGGAACAUGAAGCACGGAAUUCUAAUAGAGAAUGUUAUAAAAGAGACCUUCAUUAAAGAAGUGAGAGACAAAAGAAAGGUUCUAAAGAGCAGCUACACAAAAAGCAAAAGGUAGUUAAGUCAUACUGCAGCUUAUUAUAAAGGAGGCAUUGUUUGCUACAGCAAUCAUGGAUAAAUAGGCAGAGAAAGGUCUCAGCAAAUUUGUCUGCAAAAUUCACUGUAGAGAAGUGAGUCAUGCUGGAAAUAUGACUCAGCCAACUUGGAGUCAGCCUUAAUGCUGGCAUUUCUUUUUUCUGAGUAUGAUUAUCAGGUAAUAGUGCUUUGCGGUAUUUAUCAUGCAAAUAAGCACUGACUUUUUUGCUUCUAAGCCUUCUUUUUCUAUUGGGCCACAAAAGCUUUUAAAUGUACAUUAGGUUUCAUUUUCUUUUUUUCUCUCUUCCCCCAAUCAACUCAGUGAAUAAUUCCAAUCUACAGAAUACAGAGAAACACCUGCUUGAAUGAAUUUUAGUGAUGGAUGUAGAAAGGAAAACAAGAGAGCAGCAUUCAAGAAAAAAGGAACAUCAAAUUCACCAAAUGUGGAUUAACUAGCCUUUAACACUCUGGUGUAUGCAUGAACAGGACAAUCCUUACCUUUAUAGACACAGAGAUAAAAUUUCACACAUCUUUCCUAUGAUAUGAAGGGAGGGAAGCAGAUAAUAACUCGUGUGAUAAAUUUUAUGCCACAACUGUCCAUGCUUUGUUAUAAUUGGAUUAAGCCGAUGAACAACAGAACAAAACAGUUUAAGUACAAUGACACAGCUUUGUAUCAAUAACUUCAACUUUUGCUUCUUCUCGUAACUUUCCCCAACUCUUCCAUUUGAUGAUUUAAAGGCCUGCCAUCUUUGUGAAUGCCACUGGCUAAUCCUUGUAUGCCGCAGACAAUCAUGUAAAAAUGUACAGAGAUAAUUUUGAUCAUUUAUCUGUUGACAAAUAGUAGCCCAAAGUGUCAUUAAGAUACUAAAUAUUACUUCCGAUGUAAUUUAUUACAAUGUGUUUGAUUUACUACAUCAGGUUUAUGAAUAAGGACCUUUUUUCCAAUUCACUGUCUCUUCUACUGAAUUCAUUCUGAAAGCCACUAUACUGGAUGCAAUUAAAUUAAUCAAACUAGAUGGAAGCAAAAUCAGUGGAUUUUUCUCAUUGUGAUGUUUGUCAUUAAAUACCAGAAGUUAGAUAUGGCUUUAUGAAAAGUAAUAGCAUGGCGUUAAGAAAAAUUGAAGGGUUAUAUUGCAGUGUUUGUACAAUCAGAGAGAGGCCUUGGAAUUAUUGCUGACCUCUAAGUAACAGAGAAAAGGACUCAUCAGUCAACCUUGAAUGAGAUAUCUGAUGUAAUUGAUGGAACUGCCUGGAAUGGCUUCGAUCAUUAGGAUUCCAAUGACUAAAUUAAAAUAAAAUGAAGGAUGCAUGCCAUGGCACUAAAGCAGUGAAAAUACAUUCCUUCCCAGUUGCAGAUAGAAAGGAUAUUUUUCAAGGAAGUAUUUUACUAAAACUGUUGGAGCACUGUAGUUCCCAAGGAAAAUGAAGAAUAAUGUAAAAAUUGGACAAGAUGAAACUAGUUGCUUCAUUCCAGAUAUUGACUACAUGAGUCACUUUCAAUAAAUCUACCUUUUAUUGUACCU